GGGGGUGUAGCUCAGUGAUAAAUUACUUGCCUAGCAUUCACAAGGCCCUGGGUUCAAAUCCUAGCACCACCA
rnacentral:tRNA from 1 species